CAGGAAGAAGUGAGGCUAUAAGUAUGUUCUUUACCUCAGAUUCCAGUGCCGCAAAGUGAAAAUGGAACAGAGGCCAGGAGACGACUCAGAAAUCUGUUACACCAGCUGAGAUGGACAUCAGUAGCAGCUUGGGGGAGGAAGCACCAAUCUGCAAAGGACCCUUAACAUCUGGCUACUUAAGCAGCCAUUUACAGGCCAGGGUUAUUUCCUCCAAGACCUGUUGUGCGAUGCAGAAAUUCAUCCGCUUUGGGGCAUCCAAAGACUGGAAGGUGAGGGAGGCCUUUGCCUCACCUGUAAUUCUUGCAUCUACCACCAGGAGCCAAGGAACUAAGUAGGUAUCAAAAUCAGCCAGGGUGAGGAAGCCCUGCCCCGUGAGUGGGACUCUAAUAUCCAAAUUGUUUUUGUACAGCAUUUUAACAAUAUUGUACACUCUCCCAAGGACUUUGGUUAGUAGGCAGGGUAUAAAUAUUUCAACUACACAGAUGUAAAUAUAUUGAAAUAAAUGGGCUUAAGCAUGCAUAACUGCGCUGGAUAGGGGCCAUUAUCUUUAAAUAUGGGUCUAAAGUAGACUGAAGGUUCAGAGUAGGAUUUUAUAAGAGCCCAAGACCACUAAUACCAAGUCAAGAACUGCAUGCCCUCCUACCUUCUGCAUUACAGUGGUAGAAACAGCCCCAUGUGUGUUUCUGGGAAUGCAAUUUGGCUUGAGUGGACCAUGAAAUGGCCAAUGAAAGUCAAUGGCUGCAACCCAGUGAAACUAAAAGGUAUACACAUGUUCCUUUUGUGCUCUUUAUAACCCAGAAGUCCUCAGCCCUAGUAAAUGAUAAACUGCUUUAUAAUUCAGAAUUUAAAACUUAAGUUUGAUCCUUCUGCAGCACAGGUUGGUUAUUUAAUAAUAAAAGACAAAAAAAUAUUGGGAGUGUGAACAUGUCUUCCAUACAGGGAACUAGUUUGCAGACAGAGAUGUUGCAUCUUUAACUAUAACAUAUUAAAAUCAGCUCCUAAAUCAUU